rnacentral:rRNA from 1 species
AGAGUUUGAUCAUGGCUCAGAUUGAACGCUGGCGGCAGGCCUAACACAUGCAAGUCGAACGGUAACAGGAAGAAGCUUGCUUCUUUGCUGACGAGUGGCGGACGGGUGAGUAAUGUCUGGGAAACUGCCUGAUGGAGGGGGAUAACUACUGGAAACGGUAGCUAAUACCGCAUAACGUCGCAAGACCAAAGAGGGGGACCUUCGGGCCUCUUGCCAUCGGAUGUGCCCAGAUGGGAUUAGCUAGUAGGUGGGGUAACGGCUCACCUAGGCGACGAUCCCUAGCUGGUCUGAGAGGAUGACCAGCCACACUGGAACUGAGACACGGUCCAGACUCCUACGGGAGGCAGCAGUGGGGAAUAUUGCACAAUGGGCGCAAGCCUGAUGCAGCCAUGCCGCGUGUAUGAAGAAGGCCUUCGGGUUGUAAAGUACUUUCAGCGGGGAGGAAGGGAGUAAAGUUAAUACCUUUGCUCAUUGACGUUACCCGCAGAAGAAGCACCGGCUAACUCCGUGCCAGCAGCCGCGGUAAUACGGAGGGUGCAAGCGUUAAUCGGAAUUACUGGGCGUAAAGCGCACGCAGGCGGUUUGUUAAGUCAGAUGUGAAAUCCCCGGCUCAACCUGGGAACUGCAUCUGAUACUGGCAAGCUUGAGUCUCGUAGAGGGGGGUAGAAUUCCAGGUGUAGCGGUGAAAUGCGUAGAGAUCUGGAGGAAUACCGGUGGCGAAGGCGGCCCCCUGGACGAAGACUGACGCUCAGGUGCGAAGCGUGGGAGCAAACAGGAUUAGAUACCCUGGUAGUCCACGCCGUAAACGAUGUCGACUUGGAGGUUGUGCCCUUGAGGCGUGGCUUCCGGAGCUAACGCGUUAAGUCGACCGCCUGGGGAGUACGGCCGCAAGGUUAAAACUCAAUGAAUUGACGGGGGCCCGCACAAGCGGUGGAGCAUGUGGUUUUAAUUCGAUGCAACGCGAAGAACCUUACCUGGUCUUGACAUCCACGGAAGUUUUCAGAGAUGAGAAUGUGCCUUCGGGAACCGUGAGACAGGUGCUGCAUGGCUGUCGUCAGCUCGUGUUGUGAAAUGUUGGGUUAAGUCCCGCAACGAGCGCAACCCUUAUCCUUUGUUGCCAGCGGUCCGGCCGGGAACUCAAAGGAGACUGCCAGUGAUAAACUGGAGGAAGGUGGGGAUGACGUCAAGUCAUCAUGGCCCUUACGACCAGGGCUACACACGUGCUACAAUGGCGCAUACAAAGAGAAGCGACCUCGCGAGAGCAAGCGGACCUCAUAAAGUGCGUCGUAGUCCGGAUUGGAGUCUGCAACUCGACUCCAUGAAGUCGGAAUCGCUAGUAAUCGUGGAUCAGAAUGCCACGGUGAAUACGUUCCCGGGCCUUGUACACACCGCCCGUCACACCAUGGGAGUGGGUUGCAAAGAAGUAGGUAGCUUAACCUUCGGGAGGGCGCUUACCACUUUGUGAUUCAUGACUGGGGUGAAGUCGUAACAAGGUAACCGUAGGGGAACCUGCGGUUGGAUCACCU